rnacentral:lncRNA from 1 species
GUUCAUUGUCAGAGAAUAUAGUGCUAGGCUGUCGUGGCUCUGCAGCACCAUGUUGAGUGCUGAGGGGAUCCGUGUCUUGGUACUUUUGUAACCCAUUUUUGGCAUACUACUUGGGAAUCUCUGCACUAAAAUUCCUGGCUUUUAGAAUCAAGAAAAAUAUGUGUGAUUAACAAUGGCAGUUCAGUUCAAUGCUGGAGAAGAUACAAUUCCUGUACUUAAAGCAUUUGUCCUUAUCUCAUGUUGCUGACCCCAGCCCUUGAUGUUCCAAAGACAUGUUCAGUCAUCUCAAGCCUUUGUAUAAUAUUGCUUCUCUGGAUGGAAUCCCCACUCCUCCCUUGU